GGCUUCCAGGAGGGCGCAUGUGCGGAUGACUGGCCGCAGGCGGCCGGGCGGGCUGUAACCCGCCGCUGAACUAGCGCUUCUGUGUCCAGAGGCUUCGGCCUGGCCGCCGUCGCCUGUAAGCUACGAGGAGGAGAUUUACGACUUGGCCGGGCGCAGCAAAGGCCAGACUCUGCGCGAACAGGCGCUGCGCACCAACCGGCAGGCACCUGGCGGGCACCAUCGCACGGUGGCGCAGAAGCCCCUCAAUGGCCAGCGCCAGCUGCAGCCGCGGCCGCGCAGUCGUCCCACCUGAGCUUGGGCGAAUGUGGAUUGGGAAAGUCGACAUUAAUCAACUCAUUAUUCCUCAUAGAUUUGUAUUCUCCAGAGUAUCCAGGUCCUUCUCACAGAAUUAAAAAGACUGUACAGGUAUGGAUAUUAGUAUUGUUAAUUGAUGAUAAGCUGGA
rnacentral:lncRNA from 1 species